CGCGCAGGCGGUCGAUUAAGUCGAAUGUGAAAGCCCCCGGCUCAACUGGGGAGGGUCAUUCGAUACUGAUCGACUUGAAGGCAGGAGAGGGAAGUGGAAUUCCCGGUGUAGUGGUGAAAUGCGUAGAUAUCGGGAGGAACACCAGUGGCGAAGGCGACUUCCUGGCCUGUUCUUGACGCUGAGGCGCGAAAGCUGGGGGAGCAAACGGGAUUAGAUACCCCGGUAGUCCCAGCCGUAAACGAUGGACACUAGGUGUUGGUGGUAUCAACCCCGCCAGUGCCGUAGCUAACGCAUUAAGUGUCCCGCCUGGGGAGUACGGCCGCAAGGCUAAA
rnacentral:rRNA from 1 species